rnacentral:rRNA from 1 species
GAUGAACGCUGGCGGCGUGCUUAACACAUGCAAGUCGAACGAUGACCCCGUGCUUGCACGGGUGAUUAGUGGCGAACGGGUGAGUAACACGUGAGUAACCUGCCCCCGACUUUGGGAUAAGCCCGGGAAACUGGGUCUAAUACCGGAUAUGACUUCUUACCGCAUGGUGGGUUGUUGAAAGAUUUAUCGGUGGGGGAUGGACUCGCGGCCUAUCAGCUUGUUGGUGAGGUAAUGGCUCACCAAGGCGACGACGGGUAGCCGGCCUGAGAGGGUGACCGGCCACACUGGGACUGAGACACGGCCCAGACUCCUACGGGAGGCAGCAGUGGGGAAUAUUGCACAAUGGGCGAAAGCCUGAUGCAGCGACGCCGCGUGAGGGAUGACGGCCUUCGGGUUGUAAACCUCUUUCAGUAGGGAAGAAGCGAAAGUGACGGUACCUGCAGAAGAAGCGCCGGCUAACUACGUGCCAGCAGCCGCGGUAAUACGUAGGGCGCAAGCGUUAUCCGGAUUUAUUGGGCGUAAAGAGCUCGUAGGCGGUUUGUCGCGUCUGCCGUGAAAGUCCGAGGCUCAACCUCGGAUCUGCGGUGGGUACGGGCAGACUAGAGUGAUGUAGGGGAGACUGGAAUUCCUGGUGUAGCGGUGAAAUGCGCAGAUAUCAGGAGGAACACCGAUGGCGAAGGCAGGUCUCUGGGCAUUUACUGACGCUGAGGAGCGAAAGCAUGGGGAGCGAACAGGAUUAGAUACCCUGGUAGUCCAUGCCGUAAACGUUGGGCACUAGGUGUGGGGGACAUUCCACGUUUUCCGCGCCGUAGCUAACGCAUUAAGUGCCCCGCCUGGGGAGUACGGCCGCAAGGCUAAAACUCAAAGGAAUUGACGGGGGCCCGCACAAGCGGCGGAGCAUGCGGAUUAAUUCGAUGCAACGCGAAGAACCUUACCAAGGCUUGACAUGUGCCAGACCGCCUCAGAGAUGGGGUUUCCCUUCGGGGCUGGUUCACAGGUGGUGCAUGGUUGUCGUCAGCUCGUGUCGUGAGAUGUUGGGUUAAGUCCCGCAACGAGCGCAACCCUCGUUCCAUGUUGCCAGCACGUAGUGGUGGGGACUCAUGGGAGACUGCCGGGGUCAACUCGGAGGAAGGUGGGGAUGACGUCAAAUCAUCAUGCCCCUUAUGUCUUGGGCUUCACGCAUGCUACAAUGGCCGGUACAAUGGGUUGCGAUACUGUGAGGUGGAGCUAAUCCCUAAAAGCCGGUCUCAGUUCGGAUUGGGGUCUGCAACUCGACCCCAUGAAGUCGGAGUC